rfam:Idiomarina sp. A28L contig00003, whole genome shotgun sequence.
AUAGUAUACCGGUUGAGUAUCCUAACGGGCUUUUCAACUGGUGCCCAUUAAACUAUAGGAGAUAUGUUAGUGGCCCGUAUAGCUGGCAUUAACGUCCCUGAC